CAGUAAGGAAUAUUGGUCAAUGGACGAAAGUCUGAACCAGCCAUGCCGCGUGAAGGAUGAAGGCCCUCUGGGUUGUAAACUUCUUUUAUCUGGGACGAAAAAAGGGUAUUCUUACCCACUUGACGGUACCAGAGGAAUAAGCACCGGCUAACUCCGUGCCAGCAGCCGCGGUAAUACGGAGGGUGCAAGCGUUAUCCGGAUUCACUGGGUUUAAAGGGAGCGUAGGUGGGCUGAUAAGUCAGUGGUGAAAUCUCCGGGCUUAACCCGGAAACUGCCAUUGAUACUAUCAGUCUUGAAUUAUCUGGAGGUAAGCGGAAUAUGUCAUGUAGCGGUGAAAUGCUUAGAUAUGACAUAGAACACCAAUUGCGAAGGCAGCUUGCUACGGAUUGAUUGACACUGAGGCUCGAAAGCGUGGGGAUCAAACAGGAUUAGA
rnacentral:rRNA from 1 species